rnacentral:rRNA from 1 species
CCUACGGGUGGCUGCAGUCGAGAAUCAUUCACAAUGGGCGAAACCCUGAUGGUGCGACGCCGCGUGGGGGAAUGCAGGUCUUCGGAUUGUAAACCCCUGUCAUGUGGGAGCAAAUUAAAAAGAUAGUACCACAAUAGGAAGACACGGCUAACUCUGUGCCAGCAGCCGCGGUAAGACAGAGGUCUCAAGCGUUGUUCGGAAUCACUGGGCGUAAAGCGUGCGUAGGCUGUUUCGUAAGUCGUGUGUGAAAGGCGCGGGCUCAACCCGCGGAAGGCACAUGAUACUGCGAGACUAGAGUAAAGGAGGGGGAACCGGAAUUCUCGGUGUAGCAGUGAAAUGCGUAGAUAUCGGGAGGAACACUCGUGGCGAAGGCGGGUUCCUGGACAGUAACUGACGCUGAGGCACGAAGGCCAGGGGAGCGAAAGGGAUUAGAUACCCGGGUAGUC